GCACAAGCGGUGGAGCAUGUGGUUAAUUCGAAGCAACGCGAAGAACCUUACCAGGUCUUGACAUCCCGAUGCUAUUUCUAGAGAUAGAAAGUUACUUCGGUACAUCGGUGACAGGUGGUGCAUGGUUGUCGUCAGCUCGUGUCGUGAGAUGUUGGGUUAAGUCCCGCAACGAGCGCAACCCCUAUUGUUAGUUGCCAUCAUUCAGUUGGGCACUCUAGCGAGACUGCCGGUAAUAAACCGGAGGAAGUGGGAUGACGUCAAAUCAUCAUGCCCCUUAUGACCUGGGCUACACACGUGCUACAAUGGUUGGUACAACGAGUUGCGAGUCGGUGACGGCGAGCUAAUCUCUUAAAGCCAAUCUCAGUUCGGAUUGUAGGCUGCAACUCGCCUACAUGAAGUCGGAAUCGCUAGUAAUCGCGGAUCAGCACGCCGCGGUGAAUACGUUCCCGGGCCUU
rnacentral:rRNA from 1 species